rnacentral:rRNA from 1 species
UAUUAUUUUAAUUGUAAAAUUGGUGGACUUGAGUAGUAUUAGUUAUAGUCUUGAAACUCAAAGGAUUUGGCGGUAUUUUAUUCUUAUCAGAGGAAUCUGUCCUAUAAAUGAUAAUACACGUUAUAAUAUACUUGGCUUUGUAAUUUUCAAUUUGUAUACCUCCGUCAUAAGAUGUUCUUUUUAGAGAAUAAAUUUACUUAAUAUUAUUUUAAUAGAUAUUAUGUCAGGUCAAGGUGCAGUUUAUAGCUAAGAAGUAGAUGGAUUACAUUAUAUUUAUUUAUACGGAUUUUUAAUGAAAUUUAAGAAUGAAGGUGGAUUUGAAUGUAAUAUUGUUAUAUUAUGAUAAUAUGAUUAAAGUUCUGAAAUGUGUACAAAUCGCCCGUCGCUCUCGUUUAUAAAAUGAG